CCCAGCUCGUCAUGCUAGAGCACUUUUUCAAUGUGCUCUCCAACGAGAAAGCGACGACGCAUUCGUAUGUCAAUCCAUAUUAGCUUUCGAUGCCAUUGACUGCGCUUACCAUGGUGACCACGGGUAAUGGGGAAUCAGGGUUCCAUUCCAUACAGGGACCCUGACAAAUGGCUACCACAUGCAAGGAAGGCAGCAGGCGCGCAAAUGACCCACUCCCGACGCGGGAAGGUAGUGACG